rnacentral:rRNA from 1 species
AUACAUAUGUCCCAAGCGUUACUCGGAAUUACUGGGUGUAAAGCGUUCGUAGGCGGGAAAGUAAGUUGAACAUGAAAGACCGGGGCUCAACCCCGGGUUUGUAUUCAAAACUGCUUUCCUAGAAUUAGGGAGAGGUAAGCGGAAUUCUGUGUGUAGGGGUGCAAUCCGUAGAUACACAGAGGAACACCAAAAGCGAAGGCAGCUUACUGGAACUAUAUUGACGCUGAGGAACGAAAGCGUGGGUAGCGAAAAGGAUUAGAAACCCCAGUAGUCC